rnacentral:rRNA from 1 species
UCGGGAAUUUUGGGCAAUGGGCGAAAGCCUGACCCAGCAACGCCGCGUGAAGGAUGAAGUAUUUCGGUAUGUAAACUUCGUAAGAAUAGGAAGAAUAAAUGACGGUACUAUUUGUAAGGUCCGGCUAACUACGUGCCAGCAGCCGCGGUAAUACGUAGGGACCAAGCGUUGUUCGGAUUUACUGGGCGUAAAGGGCGCGUAGGCGGUGUGUCAAGUCAGUUGUGAAAUCUCCGAGCUUAACUCGGAACGGUCAACUGAUACUGUCACACUAGAGUACAGAAGGGGCAAUCGGAAUUCUUGGUGUAGCGGUGAAAUGCGUAGAUAUCAAGAGGAACACCUGAGGCGAAGCGG